rnacentral:rRNA from 1 species
GUGGGGAAUAUUGGACAAUGGGCGAAAGCCUGAUCCAGCCAUGCCGCGUGUGUGAAGAAGGUCUUCGGAUUGUAAAGCACUUUAAGUUGGGAGGAAGGGCAGAAAGUUAAUACCUUGCUGUUUUGACGUUACCAACAGAAUAAGCACCGGCUAACUUCGUGCCAGCAGCCGCGGUAAUACGAAGGGUGCAAGCGUUAAUCGGAAUUACUGGGCGUAAAGCGCGCGUAGGUGGUUCAGCAAGUUGGAGGUGAAAUCCCCGGGCUCAACCUGGGAACUGCCUCCAAAAAUACUGAGCUAGAGUACGGUAGAGGGUAGUGGAAUUUCCUGUGUAGCGGUGAAAUGCGUAGAUAUAGGAAGGAACACCAGUGGCGAAGGCGACUACCUGGACUGAUACUGACACUGAGGUGCGAAAGCGUGGGGAGCAAACAGGAUUAGAUACCCCGGUAGUCC